rnacentral:rRNA from 1 species
CUAGAUUGAUGGCGAGUGGCGAACGGGUGAGUAAUACAUCGGAACGUGCCCUGUAGUGGGGGAUAACUAGUCGAAAGAUUAGCUAAUACCGCAUACGACCUGAGGGUGAAAGUGGGGGACCGCAAGGCCUCAUGCUAUAGGAGCGGCCGAUGUCUGAUUAGCUAGUUGGUGGGGUAAAGGCCCACCAAGGCGACGAUCAGUAGCUGGUCUGAGAGGACGAUCAGCCACACUGGGACUGAGACACGGCCCAGACUCCUACGGGAGGCAGCAGUGGGGAAUUUCGGACAAUGGGCGAAAGCCUGAUCCAGCAAUGCCGCGUGUGUGAAGAAGGCCUUCGGGUUGUAAAGCACUUUUGUCCGGAAAGAAAUGGCUCUGGUUAAUACCUGGGGUCGAUGACGGUACCGGAAGAAUAAGGACCGGCUAACUACGUGCCAGCAGCCGCGGUAAUACGUAGGGUCCAAGCGUUAAUCGGAAUUACUGGGCGUAAAGCGUGCGCAGGCGGUUGUGCAAGACCGAUGUGAAAUCCCCGAGCUUAACUUGGGAAUUGCAUUGGUGACUGCACGGCUAGAGUGUGUCAGAGGGGGGUAGAAUUCCACGUGUAGCAGUGAAAUGCGUAGAGAUGUGGAGGAAUACCGAUGGCGAAGGCAGCCCCCUGGGAUAACACUGACGCUCAUGCACGAAAGCGUGGGGAGCAAACAGGAUUAGAUACCCUGGUAGUCCACGCCCUAAACGAUGUCAACUAGUUGUUGGGGAUUCAUUUCCUUAGUAACGUAGCUAACGCGUGAAGUUGACCGCCUGGGGAGUACGGUCGCAAGAUUAAAACUCAAAGGAAUUGACGGGGACCCGCACAAGCGGUGGAUGAUGUGGAUUAAUUCGAUGCAACGCGAAAAACCUUACCU